UGGGGAAUAUUGGACAAUGGGCGCAAGCCUGAUCCAGCCAUGCCGCGUGAGUGAUGAAGGUCUUAGGAUUGUAAAGCUCUUUCAGUGGGGACGAUAAUGACGGUACCCACAGAAGAAGCCCCGGCUAACUUCGUGCCAGCAGCCGCGGUAAUACGAAGGGGGCUAGCGUUGUUCGGAAUUACUGGGCGUAAAGCGCACGUAGGCGGAUAUUUAAGUCGGGGGUGAAAUCCCGGGGCUCAACCCCGGAACUGCCUUCGAUACUGGGUAUCUUGAGUUCGGAAGAGGUGAGUGGAAUUGCGAGUGUAGAGGUGAAAUUCGUAGAUAUUCGGAAGAACACCAGUGGCGAAGGCGACUCACUGGACAUGUAUUGACGCUGAGGUGCGAAAGCGUGGGGAGCAAA
rnacentral:rRNA from 1 species